rnacentral:rRNA from 1 species
UGAAYUUAAGCAUAUCACUAAGCGGAGGAAAAGAAACUAACCAGGAUUCCCCUAGUAACGGCGAGUGAAGAGGGAAAAGCCCAGCACCGAAGCCUGUGGCAGUUUUGCUGCUAGGCAAUGUGGUGUUUAGGCCGGCUCGUGGAAUCGCCACUCCACUCGAAGUCCAGCAUUGAGUAUGGUUCCCAGGAAUUGGCCCAUAGAGGGUGAAAGGCCCGUUCGAGUGGAUGUGUCAGAUGUGUAAGGCGAUUCACCAGGCCGACCUUAGAGUCGGGUUGUUUGCGAAUGCAGCCCAAAGCGGGUGGUAAACUCCAUCCAAGGCUAAAUACUGGCACGAGUCCGAUAGCGAACAAGUACCGUGAGGGAAAGUUGAAAAGUACUUUGAAGAGAGAGUAAACAGUACGUGAAACCGCAUAGAGGUAAACGGGUGGCGUCAAGCUGCAAGCCGAGAGAAUUCAGUCGGUCAGGGUGUUGACAUGCGCCCAGCGCAUCUAUCAGUCGGUGUAGAGAGUGGCUAGUCCGCCAGAAGAGGGCGGGCCCAGCUGUUAAAGGCUGGGAUUUGUGUACCGAGUGGUGGUCGGAGCAAGCUAGCCGUCUGUGGGACUGCCUGGCCGAUGCACUUUCUCUGUGGUGAACACCACGACCGGUGGUACUGCCAGUCUACUGUAGCCAGCUUUAUUGCACGCUCAGCCUCCGGGCUGAGUGUGUGGUGAUCACAGACAAUUUCAGUGCACGGUGCUUGCGGGUUUCUCGCCUGUGAGCAUGUUAUCGGGUACUGGUUGUAAACGGGUCGGCCCAACCACUAGUGUGUGUAGUCGUGGUGGGUGAUUCGGUGGGCUAUGGUGGUGUGAAUAGCUGUGCAGGGCAUCGGAGUUUACGGUCCAGUCGGUAGAUCUGCGUAAAAACAGGUGUGCCGGGCGGCUGUGCACGCACUACAGUUUGGCGUGUGUGUACGAGUAAUCUAUGCACAGAUAGUGAUGCCAGGGCCUGCCAAAUAUCGGGUCUGAUUAUCGUGUCGCCUGCCAAAAUGGUGGGUCCGGUAGUGGCCUGGUGUUGGAUGGUGUCUGUUGGGCAUUGUUGUUGUUGUACAGCCGUGCUAAUAUGUGACCUCAUAGUCUGUGGUGUAGUGGUAGACGAGCUACCCGACCCGUCUUGAAACACGGACCAAGGAGUUUAACAUGCGCGCGAGUCAUUGGGUCCUACGAAACCCAGAGGCGCAGUGAAAGUGAAGCUCCGACAUAUAUUGUUCUCGGGGUGUGGUGAGAUCCUGCUGUUUCUCGCAUGCACUUGACGACCAGCACUGGGCUAGUGUCAACUAGACGAGCAGUGGGCGCAUCACCGGCCCGUCCCAUGAUGUGGCUAUUUGUCAGCGGUGGCCUGCCUAUCCAGGUGGCUGCCUGUCUGGCGGGUACGUCAUCGGGGCGGAGCAUGAGCGCGCAUGUUGAGACCCGAAAGAUGGUGAACUAUGCUUGCGUAGGUUGAAGCCAGAGGAAACUCUGGUGGAGGACCGCAGCGAUUCUGACGUGCAAAUCGAUCGUCAAACGUGAGUAUAGGGGCGAAAGACUAAUCGAACCAUCUAGUAGCUGGUUCCCUCCGAAGUUUC